GCGGGCGUGGCGGAACCGGCAGACGCGCUGGACUUAGGAUCCAGUGGGAGCAUAUCCCUUGGAGGUUCAAAUCCUCUCGCCCGCACCA
rnacentral:tRNA from 1 species